UAGGGAAUCUUGGACAAUGGGCGCAAGCCUGAUCCAGCCAUGCCGCGUGGGCGAGGAAGGUCUUCGGAUCGUAAAGCCCUUUUCUUGGGGAAGAACCGCCUUUUGAGGAAAUGCUUAAGGUCUGACGGUACCCAAGGAAUAAGCAACGGCUAACUCCGUGCCAGCAGCCGCGGUAAUACGGAGGUUGCAAGCGGUGUUCGGAAUGACUGGGCGUAAAGGGAGCGCAGGCGGCUUGUUAAGUCUGGAGUGAAAGCCCGGGGCUCAACCCCGGCGGGUCUUCGGAUACUGGCAAGCUAGAGUACGGAAGAGGAAAGCGGAAUUCCAGGUGUAGCGGUGAAAUGCGUAGAUAUCUGGAGGAACACCGGUGGCGAAAGCGGCUUUCUGGUCCGAUACUGACGCUCAGGCUCGAAAGCGUGGGGAGCAAACG
rnacentral:rRNA from 1 species